rnacentral:siRNA from 1 species
UAGCUCUGGCACAAGUUCCUCAU